AAGAAAGAAGAGGGUACGUGAAAAAAGGGCAAAGAAGGGAAAAGGAAGGGGGAAGAAAUGGCGCCCAAGACUAUUGCUUCGUCUCCUUGGCUCGGGAAAUUUUUGCGCGUUUUCAUGGUUCUGGUCCUUCAUUUCAUAAUCCUCGCUGCCGUCCCCAAUGGCCGAUGCGGGCGUGGACUACCGGAUCCAAGCAACCCGCAGCCUUCCCCUGGAUGUAAAUGAGGUACUUACAUGACAAAGUGAUCGACUUCUUGUAUCUUGCUUCAAGAGAAAAGUGGAAGGCCCUGAACUUGAUUGUAAUGUUAUAUUUUGUUAAGUAGUCUCUGAAUUACAUAUCUUUAAGUAGUCUCUGUGUCUUCAGGCAACUCUUGGUCCGGUUUUAGUUGUAGGUUGAAAUAAGAUAGUCACAAGCGUGUAUCUUUCUUCAUUAUUAGUGUCCAAAGCUUGUAUUCAUUACAACUUUAGACUUGCUUGAUAGAUCGAUUAUAGUUUCGAUUGACACAGCUCU